GUGCAAAGGUAGCAUAAUCAUUUGUUUCUUAAUUAGAAGCUGGAAUGAAAGGUUUAAUAAAGGAUAUUUUUAUAGAGAAAUAUAAUUGAAGUUAAUUUUAAUAUAAAAAAGUAUUAAUAUUUUUAUGGGACGAUAAGACCCUAUUAAGCUUGAUAUUAACUUAAUAACUUAAAAGAUAAGUUAGGAGAAAAUAUUGUACUGGGGCGGUAGAAUUAUAAAAGAAGGAGAAAAUUAGAGCCAAUAAUAUUGCUAAAUAGAAAAAGUUACUAUAGGGAUAACAGCAUAAUUUCUUUUAAGAGAUCUUAUCAAUAAAAAAGUUUAUGACCUCGAUGUUGAAUU
rnacentral:rRNA from 1 species